rnacentral:tRNA from 1 species
GGGGAUGUAGCUCAGUGGUACAGCACUUGCCCAGCAUCCAUGAGGUCCUGGGUUUAACCCCCAGCACCGCCC